rnacentral:rRNA from 1 species
UUCUGGCUCAGGAUGAACGCUGGCGGCGUGCCUAACACAUGCAAGUCGAACGGAGUUACGAGAGCUUGCUUUGUAACUUAGUGGCGGACGGGUGAGUAAUGCGUGAGCAACCUGCCUUUCAGAGGGGGACAACAGUUGGAAACGACUGCUAAUACCGCAUAAUGUAUCGUGAGGGCAUCCUCGUGAUACCAAAGGAGCAAUCCGCUGAAAGAUGGGCUCACGUCUGAUUAGCUGGUUGGUGGGGUAACGGCCUACCAAGGCUGCGAUCAGUAGCCGGACUGAGAGGUUGAACGGCCACAUUGGGACUGAGAUACGGCCCAGACUCCUACGGGAGGCAGCAGUGGGGAAUAUUGGGCAAUGGGCGAAAGCCUCGACCCAGCAACGCCGCGUGAAGGAAGAAGGUCUUCGGAUUGUAAACUUCUUUUAUGAGGGACGAAGGACGUGACGGUACCUCAUGAAUAAGCCACGGCUAACUACGUGCCAGCAGCCGC